CAGCCGUACUCAAGUUGGCUAAAAGGAAAAAAUAUUGUGAACAAGCUGAUGUUACUGGAAAAUAUCGGGAGUAGCUGUUACUUCAAUUUUUAAAAAAACUUGUAUGCAUAGUUGGCUGAAGAGGGGCUUAAAAGCCCGAAACGUGUAAAAUUU